rnacentral:tRNA from 1 species
GCGCUCGUAGCUCAGUGGAUAGAGCAGGAGACUUCUAAUCUCAAGGUCGCAGGUUCGAAUCCUGCCGGGCGCAC